AUUGAACGCUGGCGGCAUGCUUUACACAUGCAAGUCGAACGGCAGCGGGGAGGAGCUUGCUUCUCUGCCGGCGAGUGGCGAACGGGUGAGUAAUACAUCGGAACGUGUCGAGAAGAGGGGGAUAACCACCCGAAAGGGUGGCUCAUACACCAUAAACUCUGAGGAAGAAAGCUGGGGACAUAGGAAUAGGCCUAGCGCUUUUUGAGCGGCCGAUGUCGGAUUAGCUAGUUGGUGAGGUAAAGGCUCACCAAGGCGAAGAUCUGUAGCGGGUCUGAGAGGAUGAUCAGCCACACUGGAACUGAGACACGGCCCAGACUCCUACGGGAGGCAGCAGUGGGGAAUAUUGGACAAUGGGGGCAACCCUGAUCCAGCCAUGCCGCGUGUAUGAAGAAGGCCUUAGGGUUGUAAAGUACUUUUGUUAGGGAAGAAAAGUCAGCUGUGAAUAAUGGCUGAUACUGACGGUACCUAAAGAAUAAGCACCGGCUAACUACGUG
rnacentral:rRNA from 1 species